rnacentral:rRNA from 1 species
AGCGAACGCUGGCGGCAGGCCUAACACAUGCAAGUCGAACGAAGUCUUCGGACUUAGUGGCGGACGGGUGAGUAACACGUGGGAACGUACCUUUUGGUUCGGAACAACUCAGGGAAACUUGAGCUAAUACCGGAUGAGCCCUUAGGGGGAAAGAUUUAUCGCCGAAAGAGCGGCCCGCGUUAGAUUAGCUAGUUGGUGAGGUAAAGGCUCACCAAGGCUACGAUCUAUAGCUGGUCUGAGAGGAUGAUCAGCCACACUGGGACUGAGACACGGCCCAGACUCCUACGGGAGGCGGCAGUAGGGAAUCUUGCGCAAUGGGCGAAAGCCUGACGCAGCCAUGCCGCGUGAAUGAUGAAGGUCUUAGGAUUGUAAAAUUCUUUUACCAGGGACGAUAAUGACGGUACCUGGAGAAAAAGCCCCGGCUAACUUCGUGCCAGCCGCCGCGGUAACAC